CUGCUCCUGCCUGGAGAACCUCCUGCCCUCCUGCUGCACUGACCUUGGGGGCUGCAGGGCUGGUUCUCUCACAUUUUCGCACUCCUUUUCCUAGCUGCUGUUGAAUUCCCAGCAGAAUUUCCUUUUCUUAAAUCUGCUGUCACAGAGGUGUAACCAGCAUUGCUCAUUGGCUCAGCUCUGGCCAGAGGCCAGUGCCUUUUGGAGCUGGAUCUUAUCACACUUGGAGCAGCUUCUAGACUUUUCUCACAGAGGCUGCCUCCACGGUCCUUUGUGCUAUGAAAACUUUGCCACGUAAGCCCAAUACACUCUAAUAUAACAGUCCAGUGAAAUUUUGCAGAGAGAGUUGCUAGUUACAUGUCAUUAACUAAUUGGAGCUUUAUACUGGAGUCCGAAAGGUACCCUGGAAGAUCAUCUGGCCUAGCCCUCUGCUCAAGGAGGGCCACCUAAAUCAGGCUGCCCAGGACCAAGUUCAGGCAGCUUUUGAAAGUCUCCAGGGAGGGAAACUCCACAGUCUCUCUGGGCAACCUGUGCCAGUGCUCAGCUACCUGCACAGCACAGUGCUUCCUGAUGUUCAGAGGGAAACUCGCGUUACAAUUUCUCUCCAUUGCCUCUUGUCCUGGCACUGGGCACAAAAUAAUUAAUUAAAAUGAGAUGCAGACCAUGAAAUUCUCUGGAAUUUACCUAUUAAAGACUGUCUGCAUGCAAUCUAUAAACAGAAAGUUGACCAUUUAUAUCAUCUCUGCAGAUUUUCGGUGCUCUACAAGCAUGCCUUCUGCACGAAGAAUGGAAUAUAAAGAGAUUUCAGAAUGCCUAAAUGUGUUAAUUUCCAGUUUUUUACUCCUAAACCGAUCCCAUGAAAAUGGUACAUAUGAAAAAGUUUUGUUUGGUUGGUUUUUUUUUAUAAGAAAAAAAAAUAUUAUUGCUCCAGAUUUUUUAGUCUAAAUAUGUGAAUGUAUUUGAAUCUUGCUGUUGAUAUAAGCAGCCUUUGGAUAGUUUGCUAGGCUGGCAAAAGCUGUCCGUCAAGAAGAGAAGCAAACAAUAUUCAGCAUUUUUAAUGCAUCAUUUUGAUACCAGGUGACAAUGGCUCCUUUCUAGAAGAGAAAUUGAUCUUUCAAUACAUAUUGGCUCUCCUACAGUUGUAGAGUCUAAAGCAAUAGCUCUCGUGGUGCAA
rnacentral:lncRNA from 1 species